rnacentral:rRNA from 1 species
CCUACGGGAGGCAGCAGUGGGGAAUCUUGCGCAAUGGGCGAAAGCCUGACGCAGCCAUGCCGCGUGAAUGAUGAAGGUCUUAGGAUUGUAAAAUUCUUUCACCGGGGACGAUAAUGACGGUACCCGGAGAAGAAGCCCCGGCUAACUUCGUGCCAGCAGCCGCGGUAAUACGAAGGGGGCUAGCGUUGCUCGGAAUUACUGGGCGUAAAGGGAGCGUAGGCGGAUAGUUUAGCCAGAGGUGAAAGCCCAGGGCUCAACCUUGGAAUUGCCUUUGAUACUGGCUAUCUUGAGUACGGAAGAGGUAUGUGGAACUCCGAGUGUAGAGGUGAAAUUCGUAGAUAUUCGGAAGAACACCAGUGGCGAAGGCGACAUACUGGUCCGUUACUGACGCUGAGGCUCGAAAGCGUGGGGAGCAAACAGGAUUAGAUACCCUGGUAGUCCACGCUGUAAACGAUGAGUGCUAGUUGUCGGCAGGCAUGCCUGUCGGUGACGCAGCUAACGCAUUAAGCACUCCGCCUGGGGAGUACGGUCGCAAGAUUAAAACUCAAAUGAAUUGACGGCUUGAGAGNGCGAGCGACGACGAGGAGAGG